rnacentral:miRNA from 1 species
CUCCAGAUGUUGCUGAACUACAACUCCCAUGAUUCACAGCCUAUUACAUUCUUAGAAUCAUGGGAGUUGUAGUUCAGCAACAUCUGGAG